rnacentral:rRNA from 1 species
UAGGGAAUCUUCGGCAAUGGACGAAAGUCUGACCGAGCAACGCCGCGUGAGUGAAGAAGGGUUUCGGAUCGUAAAACUCUGUUGUUAGAGAAGAACAAGGACGUUAGUAACUGAACGUCCCCUGACGGUAUCUAACCAGAAAGCCACGGCUAACUACGUGCCAGCAGCCGCGGUAAUACGUAGUUGGCAAGCGUUGUCCGGAUUUAUUGGGCGUAAAGCGAGCGCAGGCGGUUUCUUAAGUCUGAUGUGAAAGCCCCCGGCUCAACCGGGGAGGGUCAUUGGAAACUGUGAGACUUGAGUGAAGAAGAGGAGAGUGGAAUUCCAUGUGUAGCGGUGAAAUGCGUAGAUAUAUGGAGGAACACCAGUGGCGAAGGCGGCUCUCUGGUCUGUACCUGACGCUGAGGCUCGAAAGCGUGGGGAGCAAACAGG